rnacentral:rRNA from 1 species
CUGGCGGCGUGCUUAACACAUGCAAGUCGAACGAACCUUCGGGUUAGUGGCGGACGGGUGAGUAACGCGUGGGAAUCUGCCCUCAGGAGGGGGAUAACGGUUGGAAACGACCGCUAAUACCCCAUAUGCCGAGAGGUGAAAUGAAUUUCGCCUGAGGAUGAGCCCGCGUCUGAUUAGCUUGUUGGUGAGGUAAUGGCUCACCAAGGCUUCGAUCAGUAGCUGGUCUGAGAGGAUGAUCAGCCACACUGGGACUGAGACACGGCCCAGACUCCUACGGGAGGCAGCAGUGGGGAAUUUUCCGCAAUGGGCGAAAGCCUGACGGAGCAACGCCGCGUGAGGGACGAAGGCCUCUGGGCUGUAAACCUCUUUUCUCAAGGAAGAAGAUAUGACGGUACUUGAGGAAUAAGCCACGGCUAAUUCCGUGCCAGCAGCCGCGGUAAUACGGGAGUGGCAAGCGUUAUCCGGAAUUAUUGGGCGUAAAGCGUCCGCAGGCGGCCUUUCAAGUCUGCUGUUAAAGCGUGGAGCUUAACUCCAUCAUGGCAGUGGAAACUGAUAGGCUUGAGUAUGGUAGGGGCAGAGGGAAUUCCCGGUGUAGCGGUGAAAUGCGUAGAUAUCGGGAAGAACACCAGUGGCGAAGGCGCUCUGCUGGGCCAUAACUGACGCUCAUGGACGAAAGCCAGGGGAGCGAAAGGGAUUAGAUACCCCUGUAGUCCUGGCCGUAAACGAUGAACACUAGGUGUCGGGGGAAUCGACCCCUUCGGUGUCGUAGCUAACGCGUUAAGUGUUCCGCCUGGGGAGUACGCACGCA